AACAAUCAUCUGCUGUGAUAUGUCCACAGAAACAAUGUCAUCUUGAGAUUGUUUCUGUGGACAUAUCACAGCAGAUGACAUUGUUUCUGUGGACAUAUCACAGCAGAUGACAUUGU
rnacentral:pre_miRNA from 1 species